GGACACCCUUUCCAUUAUAUCCCAUUCUCCCUUGUGUUUUAAUUACUGAUGUAUAUGUCUUCUACCUCUUUAGACUGUAAUUUUCCCAAGAGUUGGUCCUGUGAUGUACUUAUCAUGGAAGUAACUUAAUCUUCCCCAGUGGGAAGCUGGCCCAAAACCUUCGAUGCAAGUUUUGAAAGAGUCUGCAUACCAUUGCAGCAUACCUUCCAACUGUUUGUGUUGGUACAACAUAUGACCACUUCAUAUUCCUCAGCGGGAAGCUGCCAAACAGUACAACUCAUCUUUUCUUUCUUGACCUUCUUCCUGAUGGCGCCUGUUGAUCCCAAGAAGGCAAUGGGAAAAAAAAAUACAGGAUCUUGGAAAGUAAAACAUGAAGGCUAUCCCUGUAAAAUUCCCUCUCCCUGAAAUAUAAAACUUGUAGCUGAAAUAGCACCUGACUUCACUCUGUGAGUUAUUUUUGUGGUAAAUCCAUUU
rnacentral:lncRNA from 1 species